rnacentral:snRNA from 1 species
UCUGCAGCGGUUUAUUGUCCGUA